rnacentral:rRNA from 1 species
CAAAGGAGCAAUCCGCUGAAAGAUGGGCUCGCGUCCGAUUAGGUAGUUGGUGAGGUGACGGCCCACCAAGCCGACGAUCGGUAGCCGGACUGAGAGGUUGGACGGCCACAUUGGGACUGAGACACGGCCCAGACUCCUACGGGAGGCAGCAGUAAGGGAUAUUGGUCAAUGGGGGAAACCCUGAACCAGCAACGCCGCGUGAGGGAAGACGGUUUUCGGAUUGUAAACCUCUGUCCUCUGUGAAGAUGAUGACGGUAGCAGAGGAGGAAGCUCCGGCUAACUACGUGCCAGCAGCCGCGGUAAUACGUAGGGAGCGAGCGUUGUCCGGAUUUACUGGGUGUAAAGGGUGCGUAGGCGGCUGUGCAAGUCAGUAGUGAAAUCCAUGGGCUUAACCCAUGAACUGCUAUUGAAACUGCACAGCUUGAGUGAAGUAGAGGUAGGCGGAAUUCCCGGUGUAGCGGUGAAAUGCGUAGAGAUCGGGAGGAACACCAGUGGCGAAGGCGGCCUACUGGGCUUUAACUGACGCUGAGGCACGAAAGCGUGGGUAGCAAACAGGAUUAGAUACCCUGGUAGUCCACGCUGUAAACGAUGAUUACUAGGUGUGGGGGGACUGAACCCUUCC